rnacentral:misc_RNA from 1 species
AACACAUAAAUAAGGCCCAAAACACAUAUUUGACUAAAAAUAAUUAAAUAAAAACAUUCAAACUUGUCCUAAAUUAAAAAAGAUAUACUAAAUUUGCAUAAAAAUUCAUCAAUUCUAUCCAAAUAUUUUUUGAUCAUCUCUCACACAAACUUAGAUCAAAUUAAGGCACUUUUUAUCUUCUUGGAACCCCAAUUUAUUAAUUGUAUCUCCAUAUUUAGCU